rnacentral:rRNA from 1 species
UACAGAGGGUGCGAGCGUUGUCCGGAAUCACUGGGCGUAAAGGGCGCGUAGGUGGCCCGAUAAGUAGGGGGUGAAAUCUCGCGGCUCAACUGCGAGGCUGCCUCCUAAACUGCCGGGCUCGAGCAGAGUAGAGGCAGGUGGAAUUCCCGGUGUAGCGGUGGAAUGCGUAGAGAUCGGGAAGAACAUCGGUGGCGAAGGCGGCCUGCUGGGCUCUUGCUGACACUGAGGCGCGACAGCGUGGGGAGCAAACAGG